AGUGAACGUUGGCGGUAGGCCUAACACAUGCAAGUCGAACGGCAGCACAGGAGAGCUUGCUCUCUGGGUGGCGAGUGGCGGACGGGUGAGGAAUACAUCGGAAUCUACUUUUUCGUGGGGGAUAACGUAGGGAAACUUACGCUAAUACCGCAUACGACCUACGGGUGAAAGCAGGGGACCUUCGGGCCUUGCGCGAUUGAAUGAGCCGAUGUCGGAUUAGCUAGUUGGCGGGGUAAAGGCCCACCAAGGCGACGAUCCGUAGCUGGUCUGAGAGGAUGAUCAGCCCCACUGGAACGGAGACACGGUCCAGACUCCGACGGGAGGCAGCAGUGGGGAAUAUUGGACAAUGGGCGCAAGCCUGAUCCAGCCAUACCGCGUGGGUGAAGAAGGCCUUCGGGUUGUAAAGCCCUUUUGUUGGGAAAGAAAUCCAGCUGGCUAAUACCCGGUUGGGAUGACGGUACCCAAAGAAUAAGCACCGGCUAACUUCGUGCCAGCCGCCGCCGUAA
rnacentral:rRNA from 1 species